UACGUAGGGUGCAAGCGUUGUCCGGAUUUAUUGGGCGUAAAGAGCGUGUAGGCGGCCAAGCAGGUCAGCUGUGAAAACUCGAGGCUCAACCUCGAGACGCCGAUGGAAACCAUCAGACUAGAGUCCGGAAGAGGAGAGUGGAAUUCCUGGUGUAGCGGUGAAAUGCGCAGAUAUCAGGAAGAACACCCGUGGCUAAGGCGGCUCUCUAGUACGGUACUGACGCUGAGACGCGAAAGCGUGGGGAGCGAACAGG
rnacentral:rRNA from 1 species